rnacentral:rRNA from 1 species
CCUACGGGUGGCUGCAGUGAGGAAUAUUGGUCAAUGGGCGGGAGCCUGAACCAGCCAAGUCGCGUGAGGGAAGACGGUCCUAUGGGUUGUAAACCUCUUUUGUCGUGGAACACAAGACGCCACGCGUGGCGUUCCGAGAGUACCCGAAGAAAAAGCAUCGGCUAACUCCGUGCCAGCAGCCGCGGUAAUACGGAGGAUGCGAGCGUUAUCCGGAUUUACUGGGUGUAAAGGGUGCGGAGACGGGGCUGCAAGCCAGCAGUAAAAGCCCCGGGCCCAACCCCGGGACUGCUCUUGGCACUGCGUGGCUGGAGAGUGGGAGGGGCAGGCGGAAUUCCCGGUGUAGCGGGGAAAUGCGUAGAUAUCGGGAGGAACACCGGUGGCGAAGGCAGCGUGCCGG